rnacentral:lncRNA from 1 species
UAACAUUUUGUGCUUUAUUUUCAGCGGCAACUGAAAGAUAGAUGAACAAUGAGAUUACGAAGGCCUUCGCAAUCAUCUCAAAUUACAUAUCAGAGGUAGCUAGCUCACAAUGCUAUCCCAGAGGUACUUCUAUGCCUCUAAUGUAUUUCGGCAAUGUCAUUGUUUCUGUGGCUACAUAUUGCUAGAAACUGUUAGAGAGCAAUGUUUAGUUUCCAUACAAACUUUCAAUAUCUUAGAGGUAGCUAGUUCAUAAUGCUUUCCAGGUGGUACUCC